rnacentral:misc_RNA from 1 species
AGCUCAACAAUCUUGGUGAUUUGAUUAAUAGUAUCUUUCUGGUCACCACCGAGUCCUUUUAAUACAAAUAGCUCCUCGAGAGAAGAGUCACGAACGCCAAGUUCUUCAAGAUUGGGUAAUUCUGGAAGGAAACGAAAUAGAGAAGCACAAGAUUUGUCUGGAAAGAAGCGCAGCUCAACAACUUUUAGUUUGGAACAGAACUCUGUUGGGAAUUCAGAUUGCAACAGCAUCAUGACAGAUUUGCUGUCUAAUGACAACUCUUUCAAUUUGGGAAACAUCUUAUGGCUAAAAGGGACAUCGAACUCUUCCUUGUCUUGUCUUUGCUCCCUCCCUUCACCAUUUCCUUUUGGUUUUUGUUCCCGUAGUAGUGUGGAAAAGAAUGUCUUCAUGCUUGGACAGUCAUAUAUGC